rnacentral:rRNA from 1 species
AUUGAACGCUGGCGGCAGGCCUAACACAUGCAAGUCGAACGAGUGGCGGACGGGUGAGUAAUGUCUGGGAAACUGCCUGAUGGAGGGGGAUAACUACUGGAAACGGUAGCUAAUACCGCAUACCAUCAGAUGUGCCCAGCUGGGAUUAGCUAGUUGGUGGGGUAACGGCUCACCACGUCGACGAUCCCUAGCUGGUCUGAGAGGAUGACCAGCGGCACUGGAAUGUGGACAGGUUCCAGAGGCCUAGGGGAGGCAGCAGUGGGGAAUAGUGCACAAUGGGCGCAAGCCUGAUGCAGCCAUGCCGCGUGUAUGAAGAAGGCCUUCGGGUUGUAAAGUACUUUCAGCGGGGAGGCGUUACCCGGAGAAGAAGCACCGGCUAACUCCGUGCCAGCCGCCGCGGUAAUAC